AGCAGCACCCUUUGCUACAUAUUUAUAACUUUCUUCUUAUACCGGCGGCAACCCGGCCGGCAAAAUUUUUGUCAGUGCAAUAUAUAUACAAUAUAUAUAUAUGCAAAAAGAAACAAUUAUUUUAAUUAUUUUUUCUCAAAAAAAAAAAAAAGAAAAUUCUAUGAAUAAUAUUUCUCUUCUUCAAAUUCAAUUCAAGACAAAGUAUCUAUUUUGUUGUCGUAUAUAACGUGUAUAUUGACUUUGACCCUGCUGACGUCACCGUGACGCCAGUAGUGUAUCAAGAGGGAAAAUAAUCUCCCACGCAAAAAAGCAAAAAAACUAAAACAUUUCAAAUACGUAAGAUUAUUCUCUUAUGCCCCCCCCCCCCCCCCGCUAUAAAUUCUGACAAAUUGUUUUAGGUCCUUUUUACGUUUUAGUGUAUAGUACAAGUUUUUCUUUAAAUAUAUUUAUUAUUUAUUUUCCAAGCAUGUUAUAAUAAUUUAUAAAAAAAUUUAUUUGUAAUUUACAGAUAUAUAUGCGAAUAUGACCAACAUUGACGUUCCUGAGUGGAUGCUGUGAGUCGAAUCUUUCUCUGCCUCUUUUUUUUCUCUCUCUCUCUCUCUCUGACGCUCAACUCUCAACCCCAAUACACAUAUUAUAUUGAACCCAAGCCAACGCCAUAGAGGAGAUUGGACGCUUGCGCGAAAAUCUAUGAAUGAAGUAGUCCCGGUCAAAUGGUACCUCGACCCAACGACCUUCAGCAUCACGGGAAAAUUUUUUAAAUUGACAAAUAUGUACAUUGUCUUAUAUACAACAUUAAAAUUUCAUCCCUUGUUGAUGUUGACAAGAGAGAAGGUGGGAUGGAGAGAGAGAGAGGUGGGACGAGACUUUCUCUCCUAUCUCUCUUUCACCUUCCGACGUCAUACCUUUCUUCCUCGGAUCCGCGUGGGAGAUUUCAAGGUCAACUCAAGAGCGAAUAACGCAUGUACAUAGUACGACGCCUCCGUCGCGACGCCACGUUUUACCACAUUUAUAUGUAUAUAUAUGAACAAUAGGUAUGUAUAUAUAAUAAUAUAUAAUACACAUAAUCUAUAAAAGCUAAUAACAAAUUAUAUGAUAAUUAUUUCUCAAUACGACAGAAUUAGUUUUGCUAUUGUAUAAAAUUUAAUUAGCAUAAACUCAUUUUGGGGGAAAUUUAAAAAAAUUUUAUAAUCUUUAAAAAGUUUUUUCUUUAUUGUCAAUUGGUCCUUACAUACGACGAAUAUAUAGAUCAAUGAUAAAAAAUAAACAUUACAUGAUACUAUCGUCAAUCGGUGUAUAUAAUUGUGUAUAGAUAGUAAAAUCAAAAAAGAAUAUAUAUAUAUAUUUAUAAAUGAGUAAUAAAUUCAGCCCAUUUUUCAUAUAAAAUAUAUAAAUUUUAAACUAUUUCCAAUAAAUGAUUGGAAAAUAUUUAAAUAUAAGCUAUAUACAAAUUAUAUUUUGAGACUUGGACUUUUAUAAAUUGAUAAAAAUAUGUAAAUUUUUCUUUUAUACAAUUUUUUUUUCACACUUCAUUAUAUUUUAGUAAAUUCUUUUUGUCAUUACUCUUAUUUUUUUUUUUUUUUGCGACUUAUUUCCAACAUAAAUUUUAGUUCCAAAAAUUGGAUACACAAAACACUAAGUGCAUAUACUUUUAGUACAUUAUGAUUAAAAUUAUUGGACAAACUUGAUAAUAAUGCAUCUAGGCUUCAUUGAUUUUUUUACACAAUAUAAUUAUUUCUGCUUUGUUUUUAUUUAUUUUUUUUUUUUUAAAAAGUGCCUAUGAUUUUGUUUAAAUUUGCGUAAAUUGAAGCCAGAUAACUGUUGCACAAUUUUAAGGCUGAAAACGGAAUAUAUUUUUUCACUUUUAGAAAGAAA